AUACGGAGGGUGCAAGCGUUGUUCGGAAUUACUGGGCGUAAAGGGCGCGCAGGCGGUUUGGUAAGUCAGAUGUGAAAGUCCAGGGCUUAACCCUGGAAGUGCAUAUGAAACUGUCAGACUUGAGUAUCAGAGGGGAAAGUGGAAUUCCCGGUGUAGAGGUGAAAUUCGUAGAUAUCGGGAGGAAUACCGGUGGCGAAGGCGACUUUCUGGCUGAAUACUGACGCUGAGGUGCGAAAGCAUGGGGAGCAAACAGGAUUAGAAACCCCAGUAGUCC
rnacentral:rRNA from 1 species